AAAAUUGAUAAGAAAGAUCAACCUUCGACAUUUUACAUUUCUUGAGGAACAAGAACCCUUAAAGGAAGACAGGCGUUAACAUCGUGAUUCUAGAUGAGCUUCAACAUGAGAACUACAAUCAUCCUUUGCGGUAUGCUUCUGUUCCUCGGUUUAAUACACGGCUCGAGUGGAUCUCCAAUGCCGAAUCAAGGUGAGCGAAGGCUAUAACAACUGAAUAGAUAU